rnacentral:rRNA from 1 species
GGGGAAUAUUGGGCAAUGGGCGAAAGCCUGACCCAGCGACGCCGCGUGGGCGAUGAAGGCCUUCGGGUUGUAAAGCCCUUUCGUGCGGAAAGAACAGCCCUGAGUCGAAUAUACUCAGGGUUUGACGGUACCGCAGGAAGAAGCACCGGCUAACUCCGUGCCAGCAGCCGCGGUAAUACGGAGGGUGCAAGCGUUGUUCGGAAUUAUUGGGCGUAAAGGGCGCGCAGGCGGUUGUGAUAGUCAGAUGUGAAAUCCUCCGGCUCAACUGGAGAACUGCAUCUGAAACUUCAUAGCUAGAGUACAGGAGAGGGAAACGGAAUUCCCGGUGUAGAGGUGAAAUUCGUAGAUAUCGGGAGGAACACCAGUGGCGAAGGCGGUUUCCUGGCCUGAUACUGACGCUGAGGCGCGAAAGCGUGGGGAGCAAAC